AGCUUGCUGCUUGCUGUUUGCAGCCGCCACGAAGUGUGGCCCAGCCAUGCCCGCCUGCCUUGGAGUCAACUGAGUGUGGACUGAAACCUCCAAAACCUCCUGACCUGAAGCCUCAGUUCUCUCAGUGUGACCUCAGACUGGCAGCAUCAGCCUUACCUGCCUGGGAGUAUGAUGGCAAUGGACAUUCCAGCCUCAGACUUCUUGAGCCCUGUGUCCUAACAAGACUACCAGAAGGAUCGUGUGCUUUGGAAUCUGAGAAUUGCUGGUCAGAAGCAGAAAUCUAAGCAAAAGUAUUCUUUUGCCUACUGAGUUCUCAACAGACCUGUACAUUUACUGUUUCAACAAAGUACGGUUUUAUGGUUCUCAUGCUAUAGUUAUGUUCCUGAAAUAAUUUUUCCCCUCACUGACCUUGCUGGGGUGUCUCAGCCCAUGGCCUUACUGGGUAAUGGGCGAGGUCAGAAUUAGGAGCUGAUAUCAUAUUGAUUGUCAUAGUGAGGAGAAUAGGUGAAGUAAAUGAAGGCUUUUGGUCCCAUGUGGGCUGUGAGAUGAUCAUUGAAGCCACCUGAACACCAAGAGCUGAUGCUUCUGGUUCUGGGACAAUAUGACAGGCCUAUGCUGGGCACCAAAUGUAGAUAACCCUCCAGGAAACCCAUCUGUCCUCCUUUGAGUCCUACCUGGAGGUGCACAACUCACCAUGCACCCCAAUGUUGGCAUUGCUGUCCUGUCUCCUCCCUUGGCUCCACAGCCAAUCUAGACCUCACCCGGGAUGUUUGUAUCCUCAUUCCCUGUAGCUUGGAUUCUCCCUUCUUGUCAAUGGCCUAUAGACAUUUUCACUCCUGAAAUGGUAGCUGUUUGAUUGUAUCUCUACUGCCUGUCUCUUUUCUGUAAGAUAAGACCUAAAAACUUAA